rnacentral:rRNA from 1 species
AGCAGCCGCGGUAAUUCCAGCUCCAAUAGCGUAUAUUAAAGUUGUUGCAGUUAAAAAGCUCGUAGUUGAAUUUCGGGAUCAAUUUAUUGGUCGUGCUAUUGUACGUACUGGUAUUAUUGAUUCCUACCUUCUGACGAACCACGAUGUCAUUAAUUUGGUGUCAUGGGGAAUCAGGACUGUUACUUUGAAAAAUUAGAGUGUUUAAAGCAGGCUCACGCUUGAAUACAUUAGCAUGGAAUAACGAAAUAGGACGUUUGAUUCUAUUUUGUUGGUUUCUAGGAUCGACGUAAUGAUUAAUAGGGAUAGUUGGGGGCAUUAGUAUUCAAUUGUCAGAGGUGAAAUUCUUGGAUUUAUUGAAGACUAACUACUGCGAAAGCAUUUGCCAAGGAUGUUUUCAUUAAUCAAGAACGAAAUUAGGGGGAUCGAAGACGAUCAGAUACCGUCGUAGUCUUUAACCAUAAAACUNUAGCCGACUAGGGGAUCGGAUGAUGUUAAUUUUAUGACU